AAUGUGUGACGAAGAGUUUAGAACAUUACGCAUGGAUCCCCGAUACCCGUUUCAAAAUCAAACUAAACCAUCUGCCCCAACUUCUGGAUCGAGCAUUGGGACGAAUUGCGGAAAAAGGGAGCAUUUCCUGGACCAAUUUAACAUUUUAAAUUUUUAAUUAAAAGUUUUGAAGUUUGCUUUUAA